GCAACUAAAAAUAAUGCAAUUAUUUUUCAGGCACUUUUGUUGCUCUCUGCUCUGUAACGGUGCUGGUCCAAAAAUGUAACAUUUUAGAAGCUUUUGAAAUGUGUGUUAUGGUUAUAGGAAAUAGAAAGGAGAAAGGAAUGUGCAUUUAAUCAGAAUGUGUCCUAAUUCUGUGCACCUGUGAUUAUUUCUGGAUGACACUCCAUCAAAAUGUCCUGUGUACAUUCUGCUGGAUUUGGUGGCCUACCUUUGACAUUUCUUCUUUCCAUAAAACAAGAGGAAAUCUCUAAAGAUACAAAGAGGACAGCCCUCUUCUCCCACAAUGAAAACCCCACAUCUAAAGAGCCAAAGCUAAGUUGUCAAGAGAAAUGGAGGCCCAGACAGCUGCAAUGACUCGUCCAGUGUUGCAAAGACAGUUAACGCCAGAGAGCAUUUUAUGGGAGUAAUGUUCUAUAGAACACAUUUUGGAAAAUUCCACUGCAGAGGAAAUAAGGCAGUGAGUCUCAGGAACAAAGAGCUUGGUUGGUUCUCCCUUGGACAAACACUGAAUAUGACAAGGCUCUUCAGGGACCACAUAACGCUCAAUGUGAAAACUAAAUACUCAGAAUGGGCAACAAAAAGCAGAGAGGCUGCCAAACAAAGUAAAUUUCAGGUCUUUGACAACUACUUACAAAACACAGAAAGAGAAUUCCUUGGCAGAGAAGCUCCCAGGAGUUCUACUCAAGAGACUGUUUCCUGUCAUGACAACUUUCCUGGCAUCUGCCUGUAUUCAAAAGAUGUUCUGAGGCGCACAAUUGAGUGUGAAGAUCAGCCUUGUAAAACUUCUAUGCUUUUAAGUUCUCUUCAUCCUCAUGUAAUGUUUUGAGAAUUUAUUCUAACUCAAGUUCAUAUACCUGCAAAUCAAGCCCACCACUACCAUCGUAUAUGGUCCAGAUGCAGUGCCUGGAGCUCGGCAUAUAUAAUCUCUAACCUUUAACACAACACCAACAAAGAAGAUGCAUACAUGUGUGUGUGUGUGUGUGUGUGUGUGUGUAUACAUAUACAUCUGUCUAUAUAUCUCAUUGUCCAGAUGUGAAACUAAGGUUCCAAGAAGCUCAGUAACGUGUCCAAGGCCACCUAGCCGGGAAGGAAGAGCCAGAAUCCAGAAUCCCACCUGGGUCCCUCAGACCCCACUAUCUACAGUCUUUACACCCAGCCAGUUUGCCUCAGCUCUUCACUACUUCUCUCCCAUACAGAUUUUAGUUUUCACUUUUUUCUCCUUGUUUCUAUCCUUUCAGUCCUUUUCCACAGUCCUUUCUAACUCUCUCUAGCUUUAUUUCUAAAUCUUCUUACUACACUCUAGUUCACUGUUUCCUAGUGGGAUCCCAAAGGGGAAGUCCAUUUGCAUUAGAACCACCUUUCAGUCAAACGGGUAACACCCAGGCUCCAGCCCAGGCCAGCUGAGUAGGAGUAUCUGGGGUUGGAGCAUAGGAAUGGACAUUUUGAUCAAGCUCCCUAAGAAAUUAUUUUGCACAUCAAAGUUUGAAAGCUGCUAUUAUAGUUAUUAUAAAAGCUUAAGUACUAUGUGUAAAUUAAAAUUGCUUCUCUUC
rnacentral:lncRNA from 1 species